GCCGAGGUAGCUCAGUGGUAGAGCGAAGGCCUGAAGAGCCUUGCGUCGUGGGUUCGAUCCCCACCCUCGGCACCA
rnacentral:tRNA from 1 species